UGCCAAGGUGCCGUUGCCCAACUGAUUUGCACAAUUAGCCCUUUUUUGGGCCUUUUUUUUAUAAAAAAUUAACACUUCUUGUAAUUACAAAUUUAACCCUUUGUAAAAUUUGACAUAUUGUCGUUGUUUGAUGAAGGAAAAGAAGCAUGGUCUGGUGGAAUAUAUAGAUUUGUCGAUGUUAGGGAUGUUGCUAAUGCACAUAUUCUAGCAUUUGAAGUUCCUUCAGCAAAUGGAAGAUAUUGUUUAGUUGGAGUAAAUGGAUACUCUUCUUUGGUUUUGAAGAUUGUACAAAAGCUUUACCCUUCCAUCAUUCUCCCUGAGAAUUUUGAAGAUGGAUUGCCUCUGAUCCCGACCUUCCAAGUAUCCAGUGAAAGAGCAAAAAGUUUAGGCGUCAAUUUCACAUCUCUUGAGUUGAUCGUGAAGGACACUGUUGAAAGCUUGAUAGAGAAGAACUUCCUCAAGAUUUGAACAAGCAGUAGGUGAAUGCAUUGUAACAUUGUUUCUAUUGCCAAAAAUUAGUGCUUACUGCUCUGGGAGCUGCUGGCACUGGAUUUCUCUGAUGUUAUGUCUAUUUACUUACCUGGAUUCUACUUGUUGCAUGUUGGUUCAACGAGCAUAUAGAAAGAAGAGUGAUCAAAUUUAUCUUUCCUUCUA